rnacentral:rRNA from 1 species
CCUACGGGGGGCAGCAAUUAGGAAUCUUGCGCAAUGGGCGAAAGCCUGACGCAGCGACGCCGCGUGACUGAUGAAGUCCUUCGGGAUGUAAAGGUCUUUUAGCAGGGAAGAAGAUCUGACGGUACCUGCUGAAUAAGCCCCGGCUAACUACGUGC